UCCUCCAUGCACUUUGAUGACUUAUUUUGUCAAACUGUCCUCAGAAUGCAUGGGGAUGG
ensembl:miRNA